rnacentral:rRNA from 1 species
AGAGUUUGAUCCUGGCUCAGGAUGAACGCUAGCGACAGGCUUAACACAUGCAAGUCGAGGGGCAGCGAGGGAGUGGCAACACUUCUGUCGGCGACCGGCGCACGGGUGAGUAACGCGUAUGCAACCUGCCCUUCACAGGGGGAUAACCGGGAGAAAUUCCGACUAAUACCGCAUACGUCCUCCGGGGGCAUCCCCGGAGGAUGAAAGAAUUAUCGGUGAAGGAUGGGCAUGCGUGAUAUUAGGUAGUUGGCGGGGCAACGGCCCACCAAGCCUACGAUAUCUAGGGGUUCUGAGAGGAAGGUCCCCCACAUUGGUACUGAGACACGGACCAAACUCCUACGGGAGGCAGCAGUGAGGAAUAUUGGUCAAUGGACGAGAGUCUGAACCAGCCAAGUCGCGUGAAGGAAGACGGAUCUAUGGUUUGUAAACUUCUUUAGUGCGGGAACAAAGCGGCGUCGAGACGCCGGAUGAGUGUACCGCAAGAAUAAGCAUCGGCUAACUCCGUGCCAGCAGCCGCGGUAAUACGGAGGAUGCGAGCGUUAUCCGGAUUUAUUGGGUUUAAAGGGAGCGCAGGCUGCGAGGCAAGUCAGCGGUCAAAUGUCGGGGCUCAACCCCGGCCUGCCGUUGAAACUGUCCUGCUAGAGUUCGAGUGAGGUAUGCGGAAUGCGUUGUGUAGCGGUGAAAUGCAUAGAUAUGACGCAGAACUCCGAUUGCGAAGGCAGCAUACCAACUCGCGACUGACGCUGAGGCUCGAAAGCGUGGGUAUCGAACAGGAUUAGAUACCCUGGUAGUCCACGCAGUAAACGAUGAAUACUAACUGUUCGGAGGGCGACCUCUGAGUGGUAAAGCGAAAGCGUUAAGUAUUCCACCUGGGGAGUACGCCGGCAACGGUGAAACU